UCAUUUUCAUUUCACUUUGUUUUCCAUCAUUCUUAUUUCAUCAUCACUUUUAUUUCACCUUCGUCUUUUCUAGAAGACCUAGCGACAAUCGAGCUAAUCUUCACUUCCUCUCUUUCUCUCCAUUGCUUGUUUGACCAGAGGGCAGGCUGAGCCUUGAGCCAUCGUGCCAGUCUUGUCGUCGAGCAGUAUUGCCGCUGUGCCGGUCUGAGUUAUCGUGCUUAUCUUGCUGCCGCGUCAGACUAGCCGUUGUGCCAGACUAGCUGUCGUGCCAAUCUUGUCGUCGAGCAGUAUUGCUGUCGUGCCGGUCUGAGUUAUCGUGCCCGUCUUGCUGCCAUGACAGACUAGCCAUCAUGUCAGACUAGUUGAUGCUGGUUCUGCCAUCGUGCCAGUCUGAGUUACCGUGCCCGUCUCGCUACCACGUCAAAUCAGUCACUGUACUGGUCUAACUACUGUGCCAGCCUAGCCGCCUAGUCGAACUUCUUCUCUCAUUUUCACUUCUUCUAUCUCUUUAUAACAUGGCUGGGUCCUAUGACCCACACCUCUGUAUUUUUUAUGUGUGUGUGUUUGCAGGAAAAGAGAAACAGGUCAAGGGAGGCGAUUACAAACCGACCGCAGGCCAGGGGGCAUUCCAACGUGAUCUAAGAGGGUGCCCAGGCGAGAUAACCCAAGUGUGUCAUGGACCCAAAUGAGGCAACAUUCUUGAUGUUACGAAUCUUCCAAAGCAUGGGGAGGUUGGGCCUAGUACUUUUACUGGAGUCAUCCUUACAAGACAUAGUCCCUGAGUUACAAUGGCUUUCGAGUAUCACUUUUGUGAGUGACAAUGCCCUCUUCCAUCGUCGCGAGACUUAGGAUGGAGAGUCGGUAGUGCAAGAUGACAGUGUGCCCAUGUUUCAUUUCCUUCACUAUGAUUAUGGUUCUCACUUAGACCUUCCUACUCUCGAGGACACAAGGUUUGAUGUGGUCUUCACACGGGCUUCAAUUCCAAGGCGAGCACCAGUAACUAAGAGGGCUACUAUGAUCGUUCUUCAAACACCACGAGGGCCCUUCUAGAGACAUGGAGUUAUGUAAGUAACUCGUGGCUCUUCGUUCAUGGAGAGGUAGGGAUCUCUCUUCUCAACGUCCACUUUAUGAGUGGCCUAUGUAUGUUAGGCGAGAUGUACAAUAAGUUUGUACCCAGCAAUUUGGCGAUCUUUGGUGACCAUUUAGUGAACGGCGAAGCGCCUCUUCCAGGGCUUCACGAGUUGUUCAAGGUCUACCAGUUAUUACUUAGUUGCUACCAUUUGGCGCUUGUAACCUCAAUAUUUUAUUUGUAUGCAUUUGCUUUAUUGUGUUGCAUAGGCACUCUAUUAUAGCGUUGUAUCUUUAGGAGCUUGUAUUCCAUUUUCCUAUAAAUUAAUAGAAAAAUGGG